rnacentral:misc_RNA from 1 species
AGCAGCCGCGGUAAUUCCAGCUCCAAUAGCGUAUAUUAAAGUUGUUGCAGUUAAAAAGCUCGUAGUUGAAUUUCGGGAUCAAUAUGUUGGUCGUGCCUCGGUACGUACUAGCUUAUUGGUUUCUCCCUUCUGAAGAACCAUGAUGUCAUUUAUUUGGUGUCGUGGGGAAUCAGGACUGUUACUUUGAAAAAAUUAGAGUGUUUAAAGCAGGCUCACGCUUGAAUACAUUAGCAUGGAAUAAUGAAAUAGGACGUUUGAUUCUAUUUUGUUGGUUUCUAGGAUCGACGUAAUGAUUAAUAGGGAUAGUUGGGGGCAUUAGUAUUCAAUUGUCAGAGGUGAAAUUCUUGGAUUUAUUGAAGACUAACUACUGCGAAAGCAUUUGCCAAGGAUGUUUUCAUUAAUCAAGAACGAAAGUUAGGGGAUCGAAGACGAUCAGAUACCGUCGUAGUCUUAACCAUAAACUAUGCCGACUAGGGAUCGGAUGAUGUUAAUUUUUUUAAUGACUCAUUCGGCGCCUUAC